UCAUUCGCUUAUUAUUCACCAAUAAUCCUCUCCCCCCAAGAAAUCAAACCCAACUUUAAAAAAAAAUGGCCUCCUCCUCUUCUCUUUCCGCCGCUCAAGAGCAACACCACCAACCAAACCCCUACUCCGCCGCCGCAACGUCAGCACCGCCGCCGACACCCUCAGCACAACGUCACAACACUAGCACGACUUCAGCACAACCUCACAACACCACCAACAGCCACGCCCCCGACAACAUAUCCACGUCAGCAGCCGUAGCAGCCGACACACUUUCCCGUCUCCUCAACCGCCUACCCGCCCCAUCUCUCUCACUUCCCUCCCGCCGCCGCCCCUCCCCGC
rnacentral:lncRNA from 1 species